rnacentral:misc_RNA from 1 species
GAUGAAGAACGCAGCGAAAUGCGAUAAGUAAUGUGAAUUGCAGAAUUCAGUGAAUCAUCGAAUCUUUGAACGCACAUUGCGCCCGCCAGUAUUCUGGCGGGCAUGCCUGUCUGAGCGUCAUUUCAACCCUCAUGCCCCUAGGGCGUGGUGUUGGGGAUCGGCCAAAGCCCGCGAGGGACGGCCGGCCCCUAAAUCUAGUGGCGGAACCGUCGUGGCCUCCUCUGCGAAGUAGUGAUAUUCCGCAUCGGAGAGCGAUGAGCCCCUGCCGUUAAACCCCCAACUUUCCAAGGUUGACCUCAGAUCAGGUAGGAAUACCCGCUGAACUUAAGCAUAUCAAUAAGCGGAGGA